rnacentral:lncRNA from 1 species
GUAUAUAUAUAUAAUAUUUAUCUAUAAAAAGAAUAAAUGAUAUAGUAUAUCAUAUAUAGUAUAUAUUGUUAUUAAUGAUAUUUAUUUAUAUAUAUGAGGAUAUAUUAUGUACUAGCAAAAUAUUUAGUCCCAUAUUAGGAUAUAUUAAUUGUAUUAUUAUAUAUAAUUAAUUAAUUAUACAUAUCUAUGAAGAAAUAUAUGGUAUAUAUUAUUAUAUAUAGCUAAUUAGUUAUUAUAUGAU